rnacentral:rRNA from 1 species
CGAACGAGAAACUGGACUUCGGUUCAGUGGAAAGUGGCAGACGGGUGAGUAACGCGUGGGAAUCUACCUUUGAGUGGGGAAUAACAACUAGAAAUGGUUGCUAAUACCGCAUACACCCUACGGGGGAAAGACUUCGGUCGCUCUUAGAUGAGCCCGCGUACGAUUAGUUUGUUGGUGAGGUAAAGGCUCACCAAGACUACGAUCGUUAGCUGGUUUGAGAGGAUGAUCAGCCACACUGGGACUGAGACACGGCCCAGACUCCUACGGGAGGCAGCAGUGGGGAAUAUUGGACAAUGGGCGCAAGCCUGAUCCAGCCAUGCCGCGUGAGUGAAGAAGGCCUUAGGGUUGUAAAACUCUUUCGGCAGGGAAGAUAAUGACGGUACCUGCAGAAGAAGCUCCGGCUAACUCCGU